AUCUCUGAUCACUCUAAGUAUGAACGCCAAGCGUUUUGGAUAAAGUUUGGUGUUCUACCUUACAGUGAAUCGAGGCU
rnacentral:pre_miRNA from 1 species